CCUCUCCUUUCUCUUCUCUCUCCCUCUCUCAUUUUCUCCACCAGAAUUUUUUUUCUCUCAUCUGAUAAGAAAUCAGAACUUUGUAAACCUAGAAACCUCUGCUCCUCUCUCGUUCUCUUCUCUACCAGAAAAAAGUUCCCUCAUCUGAUUAAGAAAUCAGAACUUUAUAAACCUAGAAAACCCUUUUCGGUAAUAAUCCCUUAUUUCUUUCCCAAUUUCUUAAACCCUAGAAAAUUACUCUGAUUAUCUACACAUUUGAGAUUCAAGAAGAAGAUUCAGAGAGGUGAUUGCUCAAUCUCAAUCUGGUAUUGGAAAAAAUUUCUUUGAUUGCUCUUACUGUUUGUCAAAUCGUUGAUACUUCUAAUCGAGAGUAAGUUCUGAAAAACUCAAACCCUUUGUGUUUAGUUUGAUUUUGUAAUCUUUGAUCUCUUCUAAUCAUUGUAUUUCACUGUUACGGAGGAGUACCCAGAGGAGGAAGUGAUUGAGAAGAUCAUAUAUAAUAAUAGUGGAGAGCAUUUUGCAGAAAUCAGUUCAAGAGCAUGGAAAAGGAGAAGUCCUUGAAACUGUUGUGGAGAUUAAAAAUAGGCAUGAGGCUGCUAAAUAUAUUGAAAGGAGUCCAUUGGGGAUUUACCAGGCCAAUGUUUGUCAGAGAAGAAACAGAAAAUGUAUGUGUAUGGGUUUGGUCUUACUUCUCAUCCUUAUCCCUGUGAUUGUUAUCCCCAUUGUCACUAGUUUCAAGAGCUCUUAGGAAUCUACUUGUACUACUGUAUAAAUGAAAAGAAAAGAAGAUAUGUAGUGUUUAUGUAUAUUUUUUUUUUCCAGUAAUUCAGUUUUUGGUUUUCUUACUUAGUUGGAGUUGUGCUCAAGCUCCUCACAUUAUAGGAAUUAGAAGUGUUCUUUUGAAUAUUUUUUAUAAGGGAUUGUAUAAACAUAUACUUGUGAUUGUAGUGGAUUUUUCUGCUACUUUGCGCUGCGCUGCUUUUGUAUGGAUUCAAAACAACAAUAUCUCAGUGUCGAUGCUAAUGGAUGGAGGUGCCACAUCACAACUUGGGUUAUGGAUGUUUGAUUUGUCUGUCACGCAACAAGUGCAUGUAGUUUAGCUUAUUCUAAUAAAGCUUCCAUGAUUCAGUGUCUGUCUUACUCCGCCCAUCUCUUUUAAAGUCGUUUUACACUGUAAAUCUUAUGGCAGGAUCAAGUUCCUGAUUCAGAUCGUCGCUUCAUUGGAGGAUUACAAAAAACUCACUGCAGUAUUAUUCAAUCUAUUGUCGUACUUUAUGAGUAUAAUCAUCAUAAAACCGAAGACUGAGAGAACACCAAAGUCUAUGAUGCUGGCGGGGAAUUGAUUCGGCAAAAGGUCAAGGUUUGGUGGCCCCAUGACAAGAAGUUGUGUAUUUAGAUGGCGAGAUAUCAAAAUUGGAACUGAAGAAGGAAAAAUGGGAAGCUAUUGAAGAGUUUGAACCAAAAGCAUCAAAAGAAAAAAGGGAAAAAGGAAUUGGAUUCCCCAACCUUGCAAACAAAGAGAGACACUUCAACCAAAGGGUGGGAAUGUGUUUCAGUGAAAAAUUCUGACCUAGCUGGUAAGUCUAGGGACAGUAAUAACAAAUACAAGGACAGUAGCAGUAAGGGAAGCAAGUCCAGCGAUUAGAUAUCUACCAAAGCCAAGAAAGUAUGCUUGAUUAGUAGAUGGCUGGCUCUCUUGGUCAAUGCAUCUGCAAGUCUUUCUGCCAGUCCAGGUUCACCAAUGGUUCCAUGGUUCCAUGUUCACCAGUCCAGUCCUUCUGUUCCUUCUGGCAGUUUCUCAAUAAGAAUGUAUACUUCUUGAUUUUUAUAGUGUUAUGUAAUUAUUUUCACAUUUGGAAGAGAUUGUAGUUUGUUGAACUCUGUAAAAUGAAGUGUUAAUAAUGUUCAUUCAAUUUCAAAAAAAAAAUGUUAGAUUAAUUUGAUUUCCAAAUGUACGGGGUAACUUGAUUUUGUUACAGGGAGCUCUAAUUGUAGCCUAG